GUUGAUCCAGGAGAAGCUCAGAUGUUUUCAAGGUCGCUGACGAGUCUACUAUGGUCGGAGGUCUUGGGUGCUGAGGUUAUAGGUGAGAACCAUCCACUGUAGAGACUCGGAUGAAGACUUUCAGUUGGCGAAGUCCGAUAGGAGCCCAAUUGCUAGGGAAGUCCGUCUAAAAUUUGUCUGGCGUGGAAGCUCGUCUGAAGAUUAUCCGUCGAAGAAAUCUGGUUUCAUGAGGAACUUGACGGGA
rnacentral:lncRNA from 1 species